UAUAUUCACUACUGUAAGUUGCUCUGGAUAAGAGUGUCUGCUAAAUGACUAAAA
rfam:Salmo salar isolate Sally breed double haploid chromosome ssa27, whole genome shotgun sequence.